rnacentral:rRNA from 1 species
AACGAACGCUGGCGGCAGGCUUAACACAUGCAAGUCGAACGCCUCCUUCGGGGGGAGUGGCAGACGGGUGAGUAACGCGUGGGAACGUGCCCUUCAGUUCGGAAUAACCCAGGGAAACUUGGGCUAAUACCGGAUACGCCCGAAAGGGGAAAGAUUGAUCGCUGAAGGAUCGGCCCGCGUCUGAUUAGCUGGUUGGUGAGGUAACGGCUCACCAAGGCGACGAUCAGUAGCUGGUCUGAGAGGAUGAUCAGCCACACUGGGACUGAGACACGGCCCAGACUCCUACGGGAGGCAGCAGUGGGGAAUAUUGGACAAUGGGCGCAAGCCUGAUCCAGCCAUGCCGCGUGAGUGAUGACGGCCUUAGGGUUGUAAAGCUCUUUCGUCCGGGACGAUAAUGACGGUACCGGAAGAAGAAGCCCCGGCUAACUUCGUGCCAGCCGCCGCUGUAACAC